CAUCCAGAAUGAAGGUGGAAAUGCUGUGCCGCUUGAAGAGUCAAGCAGCAACUAUACAGGGAGAGUAUGUUUUAGUUACUUUGUGUAUGUGUCCACUUACUCACUGGGUGUGCACGGACUAACACUGAUUUGUGAUUAUUUUUGUGUACUGAGCUGUGCAUUGAGUCAAGGCAACAAUGUUGUUAAACUGAAAUGUACUCUUGAAAAAUGUGCUUUUGAUUUUGUUUGGCAGGGAAUGGUAAGUUGUUUAGUGUGGUUUUAGUAUUUGAAUUAAAGUUGUAAGAAUGUUAAAGUGGGACUAUAUGUACAAACAAUGGCGAGUAAGGUUUUCGCAUGCCAGCAAGCAAAUGUUUGUAAUCGUGCCAAUGUGCUUGUUGAGGGCUUUUCAGUGGUACAGCUUAGUGUCUUGUGUGUGUUUAGAAAGGUCUGAUGUUGGACAGAAGUCGCUGCAGUUAAGUGUUGUUGGUGGACUUGCGAUGGUCUGGAGUUGUUUGCCUUGUUGUAGUAAAACUGGAGUGUGCAGUGCAUGGUUUUGAGGGAGGACUCUAUAGUGUUUCUCUUCUCCCCCCCCCCCCCUUCUUCCUUAGGGUGGAGGAGAUGGCGCCAAGAUGAACUGGACCAGGGUAAUAAGGGAAUGCACAGACAAAUCAACUAAUGCCCCCCCGUGGAUGAGUUUGAAUUGCACCAAAACCCAGAGAGUUGAAGUCAUCAUUAUUCAUGGAACGUUUGUCCCACAAGAUGCACACAACCUUGUUACCGUAACCUUUUUCGCACGGUAGAAGAAGAAAGCAGCGAAUGACGGUCCGCUGGACUUGACAUCGGUUUUCCAAAGGUAUGUAUUCGGUUCGCCUUGAUCGAAUGUCUCACUGUAACUCAUACAACCCUGUUGCACCUUCUCCAGUUUACUUGGACUUUAGAAAUAUUAUUUGUAAUUCACCUCAAUUUACAUGAUCUGAGAUGUAAUUUAGUUACUCUACAUAUUGGAAACCCAUUUCAGAAUUUGACCUCCUGAAUUGUUUGUUUUAUUUCUUAAAAGAAUUUGCAUCAAGAUUGAAGGGACGACCUGCGAUAUGGAAACGCGUGGAGCUCAUAUCCCACACGUGACAACUUUAUUUUUUGUGUUGCACACAAUACCAACAGUGUAUUAAAUAUUAUUCAAAGAACAGUUUGGUGUAUUGGGCUUUUAUUUGAUCUAUAAUUAAAAGUAACGUAGCGAGUCAUUAUUGUACUCUAUGCAACCCUGUUACCAAAUUUGAAUUGAAAAUAAUCCUAAAUGAUUUUGAGCUCAAAAGGGUUUGACCCAUUUUCCUUGAGUUGAUAUUUUACAAUAAAUGGUUAAAUUGGUAAAGUGAAACAUGGCAUUAUUGAAAAGUUGGGCAAAACAGAUUUAGAAAGUUGUUAAAAUAAUUUAAUAUCUAGGGUUAGAAUGUUAUGUUAUUUACUGGAAUUGUUUUUGAGAAAUCAAUGCACUUUUUUUUUUAGGUCGCCCGGUGUUGGUAACACCAAAUAAAUUGUACCCUUGAUCUGUUGGAGGAGGAAAGAAAGAGAGGCAGUAUUGGGUAAUGCAAAUAGCGCGGAAGGACGCGGCACGGGAUGAGGAAAAGGAAGAAUUCCACACCAAGAAUGAAGCGGCUCACAGAUAAGUAGUUUGUUGAUCUAUUUGCAGGGCGGAUGUAAAGUGUAAACAGGAGGGGGCAGAGUACGGAGCUUUGCCUUGGUUGACCGUUGCUACGGAAGGUCUGAUUGUCACGACGGCAGGCACGGAAAGUGUCGGGAUAGCUGAUAGUUGGAUGUGGCGGUUUGAUUCAGUGGUGUUUGCGAAGGAAGGAAGGUCGAGACGGUCCGCAGGUUGUUUGGCUUGUCUCGAGAGGCUAUUUGUUUUGAGUUGAUGUUUACAGUGCAGGCUUUGAAUGAGGAAUUGAUCUUGAUCAACACAAAACUGAAUACUUGUAUUUUCUUAAGGGUGAAGACCAACAAUGGUACACAACUGCCACGCAGUUCAAAGAUGAACAGCAUCUUCUCCCUUGAGGCAAGCGUGCAUGUCAUGCGCAUUAUUGAUGACAACACAUUUGAAGGUGUCUUAUUCAUGUUUGUUUUUUUGGCAGCAAUCCAGAAUAAAAGUGGAAAUGCUGUGCUGCUUCAAGAGCCAAGCAGCAACUAUACAGGGGAGAGUAUGUCUUAGUUACUUUUUGUGUCCUCACUAACUCAUUGGGUGUGCGAGGAGUACCAAUGAUUAGUUUUUGUUGGUGUACUGAGAUGUGCAUUGAGCCAAGGCAACAAUGCGCUUUGGAUUUUUUUGUUUGGGAGGAAUGAUAAAAGUUUUGUGCUUUUACUAUUGCAAUGAAAUUUGGAACAAUAUGUACACAAUGGAGGGCAUUUAAAAAAAAACGGUUUUCUCAUGAGAGUAAGCAAAUAUUUGUAAUGGCGGUAAUGUGCUUGUUGCAGGCUUUUCACUGGCAGAGGAGCAGCGUGGGAGGAAAGGUUUGUGCAUGGUUUGCUUGAGCACUGCAUGUUCACACUUUGGGGUUUUCACAUUUUAGUUUUUAAUGUCAAUGAUGGCUUUGAAUAAAUGUUUGGUUUUAGUGUUCAUGCGCAGUGAAUUUUGUAUUCCAUUUUGUGAAUUGUACUUUUUUCUCUAUGGCGUAUAAGGUGGAUAUGCAUGUUUAAAAAAAAAAAAACAUGAAUUAAUUUUUGAAAUGUGGUCCUGUAAUACAUUGUAAUUAUUUUUUCUUGUACUUUGCGGUUGUUGUUUUGUCUGGAUACCUUUGCAAAAAAAAUAAAAUGUGUAAAACAUCUGUGGUUUUGACAAUCUAUCUGUUCAUGUGGGAGUGUUCAGUUUUUUUCCCACCAUGGCUGAGUUUGGA